ensembl:lncRNA
UGCGUGUGUCCUUUCUAUAGAAAGAAAUCCAUGAAAUGGUAUAUUGAUGAUUGAACACAUUCAGCGGAACCGGAGGCGGGAUGACUCCUGGAAUGAGGUCGUAUUUUGUGAUCGGAGAGAAAAGAUGAACAAAUGGAAUAUUUUGAGAGAAUUGAUGGAAAGGACUCUGGGAACCGAAUGUGUUUAUUGCUUUGGUAUCAUUUAAUUGGGGGGGUGCAGCGGUCUCCUAAUACCAUCACAUCGGUCUUCAGACCGCAGUAGAUAUUUGCAGAGCUGCACAGGAAAUGCACCUUUUAUUUUCUCAACGGAGCGUGUAAUUCUGAGGCGGUUGUUCAAAGAUUUGCAUUGUUCAGAGACAUUAAUCAUUUACUGGCACACGAUACACUGAUUUCAUUAUUUAUUUAACGAUUUGCAUUGAAAAUAUCGUUAAAAAAAGAUUAGAGGGGCGACCAAGUGUAUCAGGCGCACACUUGUUAUGAUGCUCGUAUAUUCUCCUAAACUAACCGUUUUAAUCAUGCGCUCAGUGAAAUUAGAAGGCAAUACCUCGCACCAUUUGGAUUUCCCAACUUAAACAAGUUUUGUUGUAGUUAACAAGUGUAAAGAGGAUGACGAGGACGGGUUUUAUUGUUCUCUAAAGUAAAAAAUGUUAAUAAUUUUCUCGUCUUCACCUGCACGCAGCUUAAGCUCUCUCUCACACACACACACACACACACACACACACACACACACACACACACACCCACAACAAGAAAGCUGUUCUGAGUGAAACAUCUGCCAGACGCCUGAGGCAGUUCAACCGUUAUGUAAUGUGAUGUAAAAACAGACUUCCGACAAGUGGAAGCCCCCAAACUUUACAACACACAUCCCAACUUUGCUAUUUUGACAUUAAAUUCUGAAAAUAUUUCACAUUAUCAAAUGUACGAGGCAUACAAGGCAUAAGAUAUAUGUUCUGAGCAUCAGGAAAAUAAUUUCUAAUGCCUCUAAAUUGGCCGGCGUGUGGCCUGACAGAGCACAAUGUGGAGGACCAGGACAAAGCACGACUACAAACAGGUCAAUGAGGCGCACUCUGCGCCGCGUUCUUUCAAUAAUUCAGCAGGGAAGCUGUGUUUUGUGUUACGUUGUUCACUUCCUCCGUGAUUAUCGUCGAACUAUCCACACUAAAAGGCAUGAAAGCUGUGUGAUCUUGAUAUUUAAGAGACCAAUCAUUUUGCCGAUUAAUGCAGAAAAUAAUUGCCAGAUCAAUUGAUGCAGCAAAUAACUGUUGGUUGCAGAUGCCCAGGCAGACAAGGAAGUGAUUACUUACCCUGGAUAUUGUGGAUAUGUGGGUUCAGCAGAGACGUUUAGUGCUACUCGGGUGCACAACGCUCAACAGCCUUUUUUCAGUGCAAUGAAGCGGCAUCCAUUUGAGUGAGUCAAAGAAAGACGUGCCGCGUGUUUCACCGUGCAUCCUUCAGGGCGUGACCCUUCCACAGCCGGAUCUUAUCUGUUAUUAAUAUGGACGAGACAUUUAAACGCAUUUUCUUGCCUUUUUCUCUCCAGCGAGCGCAAAAACCCUUUGAUAUGGUUCCAUGGAAAGGGAAAGAAGAUAAUUGGGGAAGCCUUGCUAAUCCUGACUAUGGGGCUUUUCCUUUGUUAAUAUUCCCUCUGUGUGGGUCGUGGCGGACGACACGGAAAUGAAUCGCUGACCAAAAUAAAAAAAAUAACUAAAUGCAUGCAAUGUGUACGUGUUGUUGGCGCGGUAGUUGAGACAUGCGUGGCUUUAACCCUCACGUCCCACUGGCACUUUUUAACACAGCCUCCCCACUGACAUUCAGUGAUAUUUCCAUCUUCUUAAUUAUGUGACAACGAGCAGGUUUGCGACAUUAAAGCCAGCUGCGUCUUUUGCGCUGAAGCAUUUCGUCAUCGUUGGCUCUUAAUCCUCGUUGUCCAGCAGUCAGAAGGACGGUGCAAGUUCAUUUCACAGGACGCGAUAAUCAACGUGGCUGCUUCGUACCGCUCUGCCGGAGGGUUGCGCUGCACCUUCUGUCUGUGUUUUGUUUGUUUGUGCGGGUGAUGGGUGGGGGACUGAUUAGGCAGCGGUGAAGAAGGAAAACUGGUGGAAAGCAGCUCCCUCUCUCCUCUUUUCUCGCCGCGGGGUCGGCGGUUCUGCCGAGCGGAUCGGCCUGAUAGUAGCUCACAGCCUGGAGGCCGUCUGGGUGGUUGUAGGGGUGAGAAGCUCGUUUCGUUUCUCCUGUUUGGUGCCUGGGAGAUGAAUGAGCUGCCUGCUGAUGCGUGAUGACGCACAUUGUCAGCAGGUUGUCAGGCGUCUACUUCACUAAAGAAGAUGGAAAUGGGAGCCGGGUGCCUGCGGUCUUCAGGGGUCUCUCCAAACCUUUUCCCAGGAAACCAGGAGCUCCUUUGCUGUUGCCCUCCUUCCUUCCUGACUGACGUCUAACUGAAGGUGGACGUGUCGAACGUUUUCAUGAAGCCAACUGAGGGAACGGCGCCGACAGGCGGGAGACGACGCACGCUUGUUCACAGAUUCAAGGGCCCGUGGUAGCCUUGGUCAUUCGUCAAUGUAAGAAUGUCUUCUUGGCUCAAGCCCACCUUCGUGGUCAUGUGGAAAUAUUGCUAUGUGGGUUUUGGCCUCAAUAAAACAUAAAGGUGUUUUCCAGAGAAGUUAGAGGUUUUCAUCUGUCCUGCUUUGGGGUUAUUCUUUAGCCUUGAUGUUGCCGGGCUAGCAGGUCUCUUUAAGUCUGUGAAGCAGGUGUGAAAGCUGCACCCGGAGCUGUGAAAUAAAAAUAAACCACAAAUAUCAAAGGAUUGUGUGUUUUGUAUGUAUGUGUAUCAUUUGAUUGAGUGAUUUCCGUGUCGAUCAGACCGCUGUCCUCGUGUCCUACCCUGAAUUCGCUGUGUAUUAAGUCCAUUUAACAGUGCGUGACAUCACGACCCCAAAGCAUCCUGCUUUAAUCCAACAUAACCCAGGGAACACCGCUAGCCAAGAUUUAUCUGUCCAGCCCGAUUACUGUUAGGAACUUACAGUCAAUUGCUUUGAAUCAGAUAUUGAGCAGUUUGUGACACCAGGGAACGUAAA